rnacentral:lncRNA from 1 species
AAUAAUAGGGGUGUGUAUUAAGAGAUUAGGGGUGUGUAUUUAAAAUUUCUCUUUAAGAUUCCAUAAGAAAUUCUACUUAUUGAAGAUGAUAAUUCUAGAUAGAAAAAUUAUUGGUUUUAUAAAAAGAUUCAAUUUCAAGCACGUACUUGGUAAAACAAAAAUGAUAAGAAAAAGUUUGUAAUGUGUAACAAUGUAUUGUCCUUUAUUGUAAUUAGGUAAUUUAGUUUUUUAAUAAAUCAACAUCUUAUAGGGUGAGUAAAAUGGAUGAUAGGGUGACAUCAGCCGUACAUUUUGAAGUUGGCAUCUUCUGUCCAAUCUGAAGUCUAAUACAUUUUGAAAUCCUAAUCAAAUCUUAACUACUCUACCAAACACGGCCAAAAUGUAAAACUCCACUUUGAUAUGGUUGGGUGAUUUUUGGACUUCGAUAAAAGUGGCAGCAAGGUUUACAUGUCCUCUGAAAUGGUUUUCAAUGUAAGACCUGCUACCAUGCAUGAUACCAUCCUACCCAACUUCACUAGAGAAACCUGCUAGUUUGCUACGAUAACUAAAAGCAAUUACUAUCAGACUUCAAUUCUGAAACUACAAAAAACCAUGUGGGGGAUGACAAAUGCAAACACAAAUCUUUCCAAAUCUUUCCAUUAUAUAUAAGCAUGCAUGAACCUAACUGCAGGAGCAGGCACCAAAAUUGCCUCCUAAGUCCUACCAAAUUGCGUAUCAUACCAAUAACACCAUUUACCUAAUCAGCCCCGUUGUGAUUUCUUCAUUUUCCUAAGGAUUGAAUUUAGUUGGGCCUCUUGAUUAACCAAACAAUGGGCAUCGGCCCAGUUAAGAUGAGGGAUAAGUUCAUUCCUAUAAAUUUACAAGCCUUCCUGUAGCCUCUCAAACUGCGGAACAUAUGAAAGUAACUAUACAUCUAAGUUGGCUUUUCCAGUACUAGACAAAAACUGAUUUCACGUGUAUCAUGAAGUUUGGUUUUCUCCAACUCACAGUUUCUCUAUGGAUGACCAUUACUCAUCCACCAGUUAUAGGCAAGAGAGGAAAGAGUUGUUAAGGUUGAGAAAUAUCGUAAGCGGUAACAAACAUAGAAAAAGACAUGUGAAUGAUAGUGGAAGCAAAAAGAAGACGACCAAGACCAAGACCCAUUGUCUAACAGUGCGAGGGAGAACCUAUCUUCUUUCUUUAAUUUCAUACCACUCGGCCACUAUAAUAAUUCAUACAACUUUACCGAAUGAAUCAUUGAUCACUCACCAAAAAACAAGGUAAAAGGAAUCAUUGAUACCAAAAGGAAAAAACUUUACCAAAUGAAGUGAAUCCUGAGCUUAUAUCAAACAAACUUGUAUGUCAGUAUAAUAGAAUGUGGUGCUAUUGAUUCACACUUAUAGUUAAUCGAGUAUAGUGCACGUUUCUCAAUCUUUGUUUCGAAGGCGAUUCAGUUGCUGCAAAAUUGAGGAUUGUUAUAGAAAAACGAUUCAGUUUUGAGUCAUAUGGCCAACCCUGAAGUAGCUGUAAAUGUAGAGCACUUGGAAGAAGAGAAAACUCUGAGGUCAGUCGUUCUUCAGCUCACUUUAAGAUUAUGCAUUUUCUUCUUGUAUAUUAUAGUGAUGAGUGUAACUUGUGGUCUUGUUGUGUGAUUUUAGAUCGGUUGUUGAUGAACAUAGCGAGUUAGAGACUACUGCAACGGCAGAAUCUGCCCCAAAAGAUGGAGGAGAUACAAAAGAAGCUAGAAGCUGCAGGUUAUCCUUCAAUACAAUUUUCAAUCGAAAUGGGAACUUCCUUCCUAUGUGGAACAACGUAUUUGUAGUAUCUUGUGUGUUUGCUGUCUCCUGUGAUCCUUUGUUCUUCUACAUUCCGAUCAUUAACGAGAAGAAGAAGUGUCUAUAUUUUGACACAAGGUUGAAGACCGUAGCCCUCGUCUUACGGUUACUCACAGAUCACUUCUACAUUGCGGACAUUAUUAUGCGAAUUUUGACCAGUAUACGUCAAAUCAAGUUAUCAAAGGCUUCUGGGGUGAUGAAAGCACAAUUAGGAUCUCCUAAUUUGAAUGGGAAGACAUCAGUUGGUGAUGUUUUUGAAAUAGCUAAGAGGGCUUGGGCGAAAACUAAUAGAUUAUACGUCCUGAUUGACAUUUUAGCUAUUCUUCCCAUACCCCAGGUAAUCAAGAGAACCCUUUCAUGGUGUAAUGUUGUUUAAUUUCUUUCUUUCUAGCUAGUUGCUUGAACUUAUACUUGCCAUUUGCAGGUGGCAAUGUUCAUUUUCUUUUCGAAAAUGAAGGGUCCGGGAUGUUCAAAAGAAAGAAGGUUUUUCGACACUCUUAUUAUAUUCCAAUUUGUCCCACGAGUUCUUCCCGUUUACUUAUUGUGCAGAGAACGCAAGAGAACUCUUAAUAAAGCAAGCAUGUGGACUAAAGGUGUUUUCAAUUUCUUCCUAUACAUCCUUGCAAGUCAUGUAAGUCCUACUACUGAGGCCAGUUACAUUUCUUUUAUAAGUUCCACCUAUAUGCAAUUGUCUUAAUUUGCAGAACAAAUGUUAAGUAGUUUUUGGUUUUAAGGUACUCGGAGCUCUUUGGUACUUCUUUGCCAUUCAACGAGAGAUGGAUUGUUGGCAUUCUGUUUGCCAACAUCACAAUAAAUGCCAACUCAGUACCUAUAGUUGUAGCGCAGGACAAGAUAGAUUGAGAAAUAUCCCAUUGUUAGACAUAAAAUGUCCGAUAAACCUGCCGGAAGAAAAGAAAGGAAAGCCCUUUGAUUUUGGUAUAUUUGCUGAUGCGCUUGACUCCGGCCUAGUGCAGACUACUGAUUUUCCUGAAAAAUUCUUGAAUUGUUUCUGGUGGGGGCUGCGAAAUCUGAGGUUUGCACAUAUUACUAGUUCUGUGCUUUGUUUACAUAUCUUCAUGACCUAGGAGAUGUUCUUAUAUACUAAUUGCUGCAUUUGUUUUGUUUCUAAUUGUGCAGCUCUCUGGGUCAAAACCUCCAUACAAGCACCUAUGCAUGGGAAAACCUCUUUGCUGUGUUUAUUUCGAUCAUAGGCUUGCUAUUGUUUAUAUAUCUCAUCGGAAAUUUGCAGGUUGGUGUCCAGUUUAUGAUACCUUAAUGCUCAUGUAUUACAUAGAAAUGCAUUUUGAUCAGUACUAUAUGUUUAAUGAACUAAACCUAUGCUUCUUUUGUCGUGGACUAUCAUAUUGUAGACAUACUUGCAGUUUGCGACUACAAGAUCAGAGAAGCUCAGAAGAAAGAUGAAAACGAAAAAUUUAGAGGUUGAUUUGCGGCUAUCAAGAAAAGGCCUCCCUAGCAAUUUGAAGGUAGUGAUAAUGCAAAUCAUACAACAAAAACUUGAACAGAACAAAGAUGUUCAAGUUGAGGACAUCCUUUCUGUUCUUCCUUCAGCACAUAGUAAAUAUAUCAGACGCUAUCUUAGUUUGGCUACACUCAAGAAAGUAAGCAAUUUCCUUUGUGAAUAUAACAGUGGAAAGGCCUAGCCAUCGUNNNNNNNNNNNNNNNNNNNNNNNNNNNNNNNNNNNNNNNNNNNNNNNNNNNNNNNNNNNNNNNNNNNNNNNNNNNNNNNNNNNNNNNNNNNNNNNNNNNNNNNNNNNNNNNNNNNNNNNNNNNNNNNNNNNNNNNNNNNNNNNNNNNNNNNNNNNNNNNNNNNNNUUCUCAAAUGGGCAUCCAAUUUCAGCGGUCACCAGGACUUACCAAUCUCAACGAGAAUGGUUAAGCCUGUCACUAAAGUUGAAGCAUUUUUCACUGAGUAAGGACGACUUGAAGAGUGUAGCCAUCAAGUACUGGUGGAAUUUCACCAAGAACAAGGAUCCGAAGGAUUUCGACCAGUCUGUGUUGGAGGAGUUUGCAGUAUCUUCCAUAGAAAAAGAAAUCCGUCGCCGCAGGCAAGUGAAGAAGAAGCAUACAAUAAGGUCUCUUCAUAAGUUGGAUACUCAGGGUAGUGCUAGCCAGAAGUUGCAGAAGGUUAUCAGUAGGGUCAUGAAGGAUCAGUUGCCUUCACCUGUUUGUGCUCUAGAUGGCAGGUAAUUAAUUAGCUGCCUAAGCUAAGCUUUUUUGAGUAUUAUUAAUGGAUCUAGCUAGUUUCAAAGAUCAAGUGUAAUUAACAAAUAACAAGCCCCUAAUCAGAAUAAAGUACCUCCUUUUGGAUAGCUCUGAUUUUGAGCACGUGCGUAGUGCAAAAUCCUACAACACGUACACAAGGUCUCCCGUGAUUCAGACCGAGUCGGGUAUAUUUGAGACUGGACUCAUGGAUUUGAAGGAGCCCAAGUGUGGAGCCAAUAGCAGCCCAGUAGCUAUUUAUGCCAUGCACAGUAUGCACUACCCUGGCCUCCGAUGACCGAAGCAAGAGGACGACAUCAUGAGUCAUCAAUCAUGACAACUCGUUACGAUUAUGGUGUUAUUUACAUAACAUUAUAUAUAGUUUAACAAACACAGAGUCUAACUGGCCGGGUUUAAUUGUGUUGAUUUGUUAUAGUUCACGAUGAUAGAAAGCCUCCAACUAUUACAUACUGACUUAAAAAAUGUAAGGACAGCAAGAGAUAUGGAGUGCUUGGAGUUCUAAUGACUUUAACUCCUAGAAGAUCGAAGAUCGAAAAAACAAUUAGACCAAAUGCAAAUGUAGUGUGUAUGGUUCUUCUUUUUCUUCCAUCAACACACAACAGGUAACUAAACUAUCACAAGUGGUUAUCCAAAAAAAAUAAUUAAUAUCACAAGUGGACAUUGUCAACCAAAUUAUAGAAUUAGAGGUUGAUGAUUAUAAAUUAGUUUCUAAAGAAUGAGGUAAUGUAGUGGGCAUAUUUUGGUUUAUCAGUGGUGUUCACAUAGUCACAUAGUGACUAAGGAAAUUAUAAUUAAUCAUUGUUUGAUGUAAAUUCAAGGGUGGAAAUGUGGAAAACAAAACAACUUAAUUUUACAAUAAUACUUCUCAUAUUUAGAUUUACAUUCAACAGUAAUUGACCAUGAUUUCUUUAGUCAUUAGGUGACCAUAUGAACACUACUAUUUGGUUUAUAACAACAUAUUCCCUCAAAAUGCCCCAACAUAUCCCCAACAUAAGCUAGAAACUAAUAUCAAAAUCAAAAUAUGUGUACAUGUUGAGGUUACUAUAUUAUUAUCUACAGAGGGCCGGUUGACUCUGAAGAGGAGUGUUGUUUAAGGUUCCUAAUUAACUUAACCUCCAAUGUCUAAAGGUCUAAGCAGGAAUUAAGGGAGGAUAUAUAUAUAUAUAUACUACCAGAAGAAAGACUUUAGCCGAAACGAAAAAAAAAAACAGGCCGNNNNNNNNNNNNNNNNNNNNGUUCAUUUCUAGGGAUAGAUCAUUUGACGAACUUUUUUAUCACAAAAUCAAAUCUCCACCGUUCAGUUCGUUGGGCUAUAUGAGUAGAUCACUUAUGCAAAUUUUCAGAAAAUUUGGUGAUCGUUAAGUCAUCCAAAUGAGGGAUUUAUUUUUAAUGAUUUUGAACGGUGUAGGUUUGACAUAAGUGUUAAGUUUUUUGUUUUAAUCUCAACCAUUCAAGCCCAUUAAAAAACAGAUCUAAUGUAGUGGACCUAUCCCUAAAAAUGAAAAAAAAUAGGGAUCCCUCAUUAGAAGGGCCCUAUAUAUAGCAGGGAUGUGAAGUGGACGUCCGCACAGUCCUUAAAGUGCAGACGUCCCUCCGUUCUCCACCGAACGGCUCCAACGACGCGGCGCCUCCACCCCAGCGGCCUCCAGCAGCGUCCCCGAUCACUUUUCCUCCUCGGCGAGUCCGCUGAAUUCCAGUUUUCCGGUGAGAUUGAUUUUGUUUGAAGUUUUGGGUGAUCUCGGCGGACUCGCCGGGGAGGGAAAGUGAUCGGGGACCCUGCUGGAGGCCGCUGGGGUGGAGGCGCGCCGUUAUCGGAGCCGUACGGAGGAGAACGGAGGGACGUCCGCACUUUAAGGCCGAUGCGGACGUCCACUCCUCAUCCGGCCUGUAUAUAUAUAAACAUAAACCCAUCAAGGUUUUACAUCAAUUUAAAUAGUCACAAAGAAAGUACAUUAUAAAGACCUCCACUUUUGGUUCUUUUUCCAUGUGGGAUAAAUCUAACACAAGUUCCAACAUGACUCUAUCCCAGAUGUUUGAAGAUUGGAUCACUGAACACGAUCUUAUCUACGUACGUACUCCAACAAUUUGAAGAGAAAGCAAGACGGUAUCAGAUUUUUAUAGCCAAAUAUCUCUCUCUGUAAAAGUUCAACAAAGAAGGUGCGCAUAGUGAUGAUAUUCGGCUUAAAGAUUUGAAACCGCCUUGCUUCGAUCUCUUCAUUGUUGGAAUAAACACAAUAUGUACAGUACUUUGAAUUUUUAUGCAAGGUUGGAUUGGGCCUUGUAAACUUGGGUUCAUGCAUUCAUUUUACAGGAUUAGAUAGACGAGCUAACUCAUCCAAGCCACAAAAAACAACCCAAAUAGAUUAGAGGCCCACUGGCCCAUAACCCAUCUCUCUCUUCUCCUUUCCUUCAAAAGUGUUUACCUUGUCUUCUAGCUACAAGGUUGUUUAAGAUUCCAUAAGAAAUUCUACUUAUUGAAGAUGAUAAUUCUAGAUAGAAAAAUUAUUGGUUUUAUAAAAAGAUUCAGUUUUAAGCACGUACUUGGUAAAACAAAAACGAUAAGAAAAAAGUUGUAAUUUGUAACAAUAUAUUGUCUUUUAUUGUAAUUCAGUAUUAAGGUAAUUUAAUCUUUUAAUAAAUCAACAUCUUGUAUGAUAAGUAAAGUGGAUGAUAAGGUGACAAUAGCCACACCCUUUGAAGUCGGCAUAUUCUGUCCAAUCUGAAGUCUAAUACAUUUUGAAAUCCUAAUCAAAUCUUAACUACUCUACCAAACACGGCCAAAAUGUAAAACUCCACUUUGAUAUAGUUGGGUGAUUUUUGGACUUCGAUAAAAGUGGCGGCAGGGCUUACAUGUCCUCUGAAAUGGUUUUCAAUGUAAGACCUGCUACCAUGAUACCAUCCUACCCAACUUCACUAGAGAAACCUGUUAGUUUGCUACGAUAAGUCGAUAACUAAAAGCAAUUUAGACUUCCAAUUCUGAAACUACAAAAACCAUGUGGG